rnacentral:lncRNA from 1 species
GAAGGUCGUAUAAUCGUGCAAUACAUGAAGGUCGUAUAAUCGUGCAAUACAUGAAGGUCGUGUAAUCGUACAAUACAUGAAGGUGGUGUAAUACACAAUCUUGAAUCUUACAUAACCUUACACGACCAAAUCAUGUGUUACAUGACAAUAUUAUAAUCGGCAGAAUCCAUUAAUUUUUCACAAUUUACAUGCAACAAAACAACUAAAAAUUUAUUUUUGAACAUGUUAUGAGAGACCUGCAACUAAUUAAUCUAUUUUUUCAAUAUAAAACCUUAAUUUUUUUCCCUAAAUACUAAUAAAAAAAUUAAUUAUAGGGAAUUACUUGCCUCAACUAGUUACAUUCAGACCAUUUUGCAGUAAAGGAUCAGCUCUCGUUGGCGAUUAUGUAGUGAUGAACUAGGCUUCUCUUUCUCAGAUGUGACAGCUUUCCCUUCUCAGACUCAAUUUGCUCGUGUUGAAAUUCGAUUUAGUAUGUAUGGAGAAUGAAUAUUUGUUUAAGUAGAGGUGAUGUCAGUAAGCAAAUUACAGAGGUGAUGCUGGUUAAUAUUCGAUUUAGCAUGUAUGAGAAUGGAGGAUGAGUAUUUGUUUGUUUGAGUAAAAGUAAUAGAGGGAAUUACAGCAGAUAUGAGUGUUUGUUUGUUUGAGUAGAGAGAGAGAGAGGUCCUGUCGGUUGAGUUGAAGUGUUUUAAAAUGGGGAUAACUUAGUAAUUUUUUAUUAAUUUUUAAAGAAUAUUAAUGAAAAUUUUGUCAAAAUUAAAUUUUAGGGUAUUGAGAUAAUUUUUAAAGCAGGAAGGUGUACCUGCUGCAAUUCCCUCGCAACACCCAAACCAAAAACGACGACCGGUUUUAGCAACUCGUCUCCGUCGCUCGUCACGCUACAGCCCACCGUCGUUGCCAUUGUCUGCGUCGCAUCGUCGUCAGCUGCCCUGCGUCGUCGUCUGCUGCCUUGCGUCGUCAACUGCCUUAGUCACGCAGCUCCGAUUCUGAUUUGAGCUCCGUUCGUCACGAUCUGCUGCUGCUGAUGAUGAUGAUGAUUGAUGAUGUAAUUGUGGUGUAAUGAUGAAGCUGAUGUAAUUGUGAUGACGAUGAUGAUGAUGAAGAUGAAACGGAAUUUUGAUGUUGGCGAAGAAGAAGUGAAAGAAUUUAAGAGAAAAUAUUGUUUGGUUGCUGAGAAAAUAUCUCAGAAAAUUUCCAGAGAACUUUCAGAUUUCUUGUAUUUAUUUUCUUUUUAAAAGAAAUGUUAUGAUUACAACUUAUUUAUACGCAAAGCUUAAGGAUUACUAAAGCUAAUGACUAACUAAUUCAGUAGAAUCUACACAUGCAUAACCACAGCUCGAUAUACAGAGUAAUCACACCAGACUGUUAACUACUUAAGCUGAGGUGGCAGCUGAGCUGUCAUUCUGCUUACAUUCAUCUGACGUCACCAGCUUGCUGGUUUUCCUUAGCUUGUGCAGCUUCCUCUUUUCAGCACAAUGAGCUUCUCUAACAGCCCCCCUCAAACUCAAAGGACAAGGGUGAACAUUGAGUUUGGCCCUCAAGUAAUUAAACUGUAUGAAGGAAAGAGGUUUAGUCAUUAUAUCUGCAACUUGAUCUGCACUUGCUAUAUAUUGAAUGCUGAGCUCCUUAUUAAGAACCUUGUUGCGAAUAAAAUGUAUGUCAAUCUCAAUGUGUUUUGUUCUGGAAUGGUAAACUGGGUUCUUGGCCAAUUCAGCUGCACUAAUGUUAUCACACCAAAUAAUAGGUUUAGCUGUGCAGCAUACUCCAAUUUCAGCAAACAAGGACUGCAACCAAGUUAAUUCUGCACUAGCUGAUGCCAAUGCCCUGUACUCACUCUCGGCACUUGACCUAGCUAUUACUCCUUGCUUUUUAGAAGACCAUGAUAUAAGAUUAUUACCCAGGUAGAUACAAUAUGCACUCACUGAUUUCCUGUCAUCUAAAUCACAUGCCCAAUCAGCAUCUGUAAAUCCAGUAAGCUCCAUAUUGCCUUCUUUGAUGAACUUUAAACCAUAGUCCUGAGUGGCCUUUAGAUAUCUUAAAACCCUUUUACAUGCCAUGAGAUGCUGUAGUGUAGGAGCAGAUACAUACUGACUGAGUUUGUUAACUGCAAAAGCAAUCUCAGGUCUUGUCAAAACCAGAUACUGCAUGCUUCCAACAAUGCUUCUAUAGUAUGUAGGAUCUUCAAGAUAAUGACCAAGCUGUCCUUGAACAGACUUCUGUAACUUCAGACCAGUGCUUAAAGGAGUAUCAAUGCCCUUACAAUUAAUCAUAUCAACCUUAGCUAACAAAUCUCUGAUGUAUUUCCUUUGAGACAGAAAUAUGCAAUCUUCAUCAUAUAAGACUUCUACCCCAAGGAAAUAAGAUAAAAUGCCAAGAUCUUUUAAAGCAAAGGUUGAGCUUAGUGUUGCAAUAAAAUGCUCUAAUUCAGCACUGCUAGGACCUGUAACUAAGAUAUCAUCCACAUAUAUCAACACAAGAAUCAUGGAAGUAUGACUCCUUUUCAAAAACAGGGAUGUAUCAGAAGUAGUAUUAGUGAAUCCCCACUGCAGCAAGCAACUCUUAAGUUUAUCAUACCAAGCUCGAGGAGCUUGUUUAAGUCCAUAAAGAGACUUGUGCAGUUUACACACAUAACCAGGCUUUGUGUUGUCAAUAAAACCUGUUGGCUGAGACAUAUAAACUUCUUCUGUCAAAUCCCCAUUGAGAAACGCAUUAUUGACAUCAACUUGUCUAAUUUUCCAUUUGUUCAUCACUGCUAAGCUUAAUACCACUCUGACAGUUGCUGGUUUAAUAACUGGACUAAAAGUUUCAAAGUAGUUUACUCCUGCAAUUUGUUGAAAACCUUUGGCAACAAGCCUAGCUUUGUAUUUGGCUACACUCCCAUCAGUGUUGUAUUUAAUCCUAUACACCCACUUAUUAUCCACAACCUGUUGAUCAGUCUCUUUAGGAACCAGAGACCAAGUAUUAUUGUGAACUAAGGCAUCAUACUCAUCUUGCAUAGCCUUCACCCAUUUGGAAUCACUCAAAGCUUCUUGCACUGAAUCUGGUUCUUUGUGAGUGAGAAUGGCUGCAUACACUUUUGGUUUAAAAAUGCCAGAUUUGCUUCUGGUGGUCAUAGGAUGAAUAUUGGAUUGUAUUUGAGGUAAGUCAACAUGAGGAGUUAAUGAUGUUGUAUUAUCAGAAGCAGAUGCAGAUAAGAAAUGUUGUGUAUUAACAGGUAGAUGAGUUUGAGGACUUACUUGCUGUGAAUUUUGAUCAUUUGUUGUUUGUGCAGGAUUUUCUGAGUGAGUUGAAUUGCUGCUGUCAGGGUUUGCAGAUAAAGAAUAACCAGUGCUAUUUUCAGGAAAUGAUUGAACAACAGGCAAAGUGGAAAGAUGAUAUAUUUGCUGAGGAGAAAAGGAAGUAGAAGAAAGAGGUGAUGAUGAUGACUUAGUGAAACAAUGAAAGUUAGAAUCAGUAGAGUAAGGAAAAGUGAGUUCAUCAAAUAUGACAUGUCUUGCUAUGUAAAGAUGACCUGAAGGAUGUAAGCACUUGUAACCUUUGUGUGAUGAACUAUAUCCUAGAAAGAUACAUUUGCUGGAAUGAUAGUCAAAUUUGUGUUGGUUAUAAUCCCUCAAGUAAGGAUAGCAUGCACAACCAAAACACUUAAGCAUAUCAUAGUUGGGUUGGUGUUUGAAAAUUUUCUCAUAGGGAGACAAAAGUCUGAGAACAACAGAAGGCAAUCUAUUUAUGAUGUACACAGCUGUAUGAAAUGCUUCCCACCAAAAUUUAAAGGGUAAUUUAGAUUGAGCUAGCAAUGUAAGCCCCAUUUCAACAAUAUGCCUAUGUUUUCUCUCAACCAAUCCAUUUUGAUGAUGAGUGUAUGGGCAGGAGUGUCUAAAAAUGAUACCACACUGAUUUAAGAACUCAGUGAAAGAUCUGUACUCACCCCCCAAUCAGAUUGUAACUGCUUAAUGGUGGUUUGAAACUGAUUUUCAACCUGUGUUUUGAAAAGCUUAAAGACACUUAGAGCUUCAGACUUAAACUUUAGAGGGUAGAUCCAGGUGAACCUGCUAAAAUCAUCCACAAAACUGAUAUAAUAGUGAUAUCCAUCUCUAGUGUAGACAGGUGAAGGACCCCAGAGAUCUGUAUGUAUCAGUUCUAAAAGCUUGGUUGUUUUGGUUGUGGAUGAAGGGAAAUGAAGCUUAUGGCCUUUGCCCAUUUGACAAGCUUCACAGAUGUAUUGCAAUGCUUGUGUUAUUUGAUUAUCAGAAAAAUUUGCAGACUUGAUAUUUUUGAGAACAUGCUUUAAUAUAUAAUGAUUGGGAUGACCAAAUCUAUUAUGAAACAAAGCAAUCUUAUUCACUGAUGUUGUACAAUAUAAUGCAGUAGAUGAAUAACAAGAUUUUGAAUGGCUACAAUCUGCAUUAUUAACAUCAGUUACAGAAUUAAAAUGAAAACAUGACAGCAUUGACAUUGGCUUAUUUGAACUGAUCUGAGAUAGAAAAGAUGAUUUAGAGAAUGAGUAUGGUUUGAAUAACAGCCUGUAUAAUCCUCUUUCAGCAAUACCCUGCAGCAGAACUUCCCCCUUCAGAGCAUCCUUCACAUAACAAAUAUUUCCAAGAAAUUCAACAGACAAAUGGUUAUCAGAUGUGAGUUUGGAAAUACUUAAUAAAUUCUUGGUAAUUGAAGGGACAAGAAGAAUAUCUUUCAGUACUAUGUGUGGGUGUUUGUGUUGAGCAAAUGAAAUUUUAAAAACAAAUUUAGCAUCACCAACAUGAGUUAUGGGCAAACCUUGUCCAUUUCCAAUGAUAAGCUGAUCAGAACCAUUGAAUUCCUCUCUGACCUGCAUAUUAGCCAUGUUGUUGGUUAAGUGAUGAGUUGCUCCACUAUCAAGAUACCACCCUUCAUCAGCAGGCCCUUCAAAAUUUGCAAGAUAAGCAGCUCCAGUAGCUCCAGGUGCAGAAGACAUUUCAGAUGAACAAUGAGGCAUAGAAGAAUAUGUCACUGGAUCCAGAUUGUAAGACUGAUAAUUUGAACCGUUCAUAGCAUAAGAAUCAUCAAAGUAUGGUGCAAACUCAGCAUGUGAAUCAAAUGUAGACAUAUAAGCUGACUUAGGUCCUCUUCCUCUGCCAAAAUGCCUUGACUGUGGCACAUAAUUCUCAAUAUAUCUAUGCCAACAAGCAUCAGCUGUGUGCCCUGACUUAUGACAUAUCUGACAAACAGGAAUGUUAUCAUCUGAUUCAAUUCCAGCUGACACAAAACCUUGACCAUGAGGCUUAGGAUGUGAUAAAACUUUGUGAAACUGCAUUGGCAUAGAGUUGCCUCUUCCAAAAUUAUGACCACUGUUAUUAAAGCCUCUAGGAUAUGUAUUAAACAUCAUUCCUCUUCCAGCAUUUCUGUUUCCAUUAUGAAUUUGUCCACGAUAUCCUCCAUAACCAAAACCUCCUCUUCUAUUGUUCCCUCUGACUUGAGAAUAAUUGGAAUUCAUCACUCCAUAGUUAGCAUUGAACAUGACUUUAGUAUUCUGAUUGGUCUGACUUUGUUCUAAUCGUGCCUCAUGUGUUAACAGUAAGGCAUAAGCAUCAUCAUAAGACAUCUUAUUAGCUGUGAUAAUAGAUGCAAGAUCUAGAUAACCAGUCCCUAAUCCAUUUAGAACUUGCAUUAACAGAUCCCUUUCUGACAUAGGACUACCAGCACAGGCAAGUUUAUCAGCUAAUAUUUUGACUUUUAAGCAAUAUUCUUCAACAGACAUGGAUUCCUUCCUAAGUACAUUCAAUUCAUAACGAAGUUGCAUUAUUUUAGCUUCAGACUGAGCUCCAAAUUGUUUCUCAAUAGAUCUCCAAGCAUCUUGUGAAUUGUCACAAUUAAGAAUAGAACUGAGAAUACCUUCAUUAACUGAUGAUAACAGCCAGCCGAGUAGUAUUUGAUCCUGAGCUCUCCAAUUUAUGUAUGCUGGAUUAUCUACUUUCUGCACUGAUCCAUCAGCUGUUGUUUGAAUGAUAUGUUGCUCUGGUAUGAUCUGAUUAUCAGAUAUGAAAUCUUCAAGCCGAUUUCCUCUGAUUGAUGUAAGAACUUGUUUUCUCCAGAUUAGGAAAUUAGAUCGAUCUAGUUUUAUUGGAUUACUGAAUGAGAAUGAGAUCUGUGAAGGUUGAUUUGCAUUUGUUGAAUUUGAAAGUGUUGUUGUGUUGCUGGAACUAGCCAUAUUGGCUCUGAUACCAUGAAAGAAUUUAAGAGAAAAUAUUGUUUGGUUGCUGAGAAAAUAUCUCAAAAAAUUUCCAGAGAACUUUCAGAUUUCUUGUAUUUAUUUUCUUUUUAAAAGAAAUGUUAUGAUUACAACUUAUUUAUACGCAAAGCUUAAGGAUUACUAAAGCUAAUGACUAACUAAUUCAGUAGAAUCUACACAUGCAUAACCACAGCUCGAUAUACAGAGUAAUCACACCAGACUGUUAACUACUUAAGCUGAGGUGGCAGCUGAGCUGUCAUUCUGCUUACAUUCAUCUGACGUCACCAGCUUGCUGGUUUUCCUUAGCUUGUGCAGCUUCCUCUUUUCAGCACAAUGAGCUUCUCUAACAAGAAGAAACGAAAUUGAUAGGAGGAAGAAGAAGAUAUUUGUGAUGAUGAUGAUGUUGAUGAAGGAGAUGGAAUUAACCAUGGAGAAGUAACGAAGAAAUUGCAGAAGAGGGAGAAAGAAAGAAAGAGAAGAAAAGAAGAGGAAAGGAAAAAAAACGAAGAGAGAUAAAAUAAUAAUAAAAAAUAAAAAAGGAAAAAUUAUUAUUAUUA